GUGAUAUUAUAUCAAUUCGGUAGAAUGUGGUUCUCCAAAACCCAAUGUCGUAGGUUCAAAUCCUACAGAGCGUG
rfam:Gossypium raimondii chromosome 12, whole genome shotgun sequence.